AUGCCGCGUGCAGGAUGACGGCCCUAUGGGUUGUAAACUGCUUUUAUAUAGGAAGAAACCUUUUCACGUGUGAGAAGCUGACGGUMCUAUAAGAAUAAGGMCCGGCUACUCCGUGCCAGCAGCCGCGGUAAUACGGAGGGUCCGAGCGUUAUCCGGAAUCAUUGGGCUUAAAGGGUCCGUAGGCGGGAAUCUAAGUCAGUGGUGAAAUCUUGCAGCUCAACUGUAAAAUUGCCAUUGAUACUGGAUUUCUUGAAUUAGAUGUGAAGUGGUUAGAAUGUGUAGUGUAGCGGUGAAAUGCAUAGAUAUUACACAGAAUACCAAUUGCGAAGGCRGAUCACUAACACUAUAUUGACGCUGAGGGACGAAAGCGUGGGGAGCGAACAGGAUUAGAUACCCUGGUAGUCCACGCCGUAAACGAUGGAUACUAGCUGUUCGAUCUUCGGAUUGAGUGGCUAAGCGAAAGUGAUAAGUAUCCCACCUGGGGAGUACGUUCGCAAGAAUGAAACUCAWAGGAAUUGACGGGGGCCCGCACAAGCGGUGGAGCAUGUGGUUUAAUUCKAUGAUACGCGAGGAACCUUACCAGGGCUUAAAUGUAKUCUGACAGCUUUAGAGAUAGAGUUUUCUUCKGACAGAUUACAARGUGCUGCAUGGUUGUCGUCAGCUCGUGCCGUGAGGUGUCAGGUUAAGUCCUAUAACRAGCGCAACCCCUGUUGUUAGUUGCCAGCGAGUAAUGUCGGGAACUCUAACAAGACUGCCGGUGCAAACCGUGA
rnacentral:rRNA from 1 species